rnacentral:rRNA from 1 species
GACGAACGCUGGCGGCGUGCUUAACACAUGCAAGUCGAACGGAAAGGCCGUGAUUUCGUGCGGUGCCCGAGUGGCGAUCGGGGGAGUAACACGUGAGUAACCUGCCCUACACUUUGGGAUAACUUCAGGAAACUGGGGUUAAUACCGGAUAGCAGACCCUGUACCAUGGUGGGGGUUGGAAAGUUUAGGCGGUUGGGGAUGGAUUCGCGGCUUAUCAGCUAGUUGGUGGGGUAGUGGCUUACCAAGGAUUUGACGGGUACCCGGCAUGUGAGGGUGACCGGCGACAAUGGUACUGAGGUAGGGCCCAGAGUGCAACAGUGGGCAGAAGUGGGGAAUCUUGCCCAAUGGUACGGAGCCUGAUGCAGAGACGCUGCGUGUGGAAUGACGGCCUUCGGGGUGAGAACCGCUUUCGCCUGUGACGAAGCGUGAGUGACGGUAAUGGGUAAAGAAGCACCGGCUAACUACGUG